rnacentral:misc_RNA from 1 species
AAAAAACUCUAAACCAACACUCCUCUACAAAGAUCUGAGAUAAAUUACACAUCAAAGUCAAAAAUUUCAAGAGUUAGACUUGAAGGGGUUUUUGCUGAAGCAAAAAUACAACAACCCAACAAGUGAAAUAGUCAAUAGGCAUCAACAAGCCUAUAAGUUAGCCAAAACGAAACUUGGGUCCAAAAUCAAACUCCUUUGUGGGCAAUAACAGAGAAACUGGUGAUGCUGGUCAAAUAUAAGACAAGAAAGAUUCUUCUUUAGUAACUUUAGCAUAUAUACCAAGAAUACACAAAGCUAUGGUGAAUAUGAGUGAAAAAGACAAGAUUUUGGAUCCUGGGAAAUUGUAAAAAUGGCAAGAAAGAGUUGCA